AGAGUUUGAUCCUGGCUCAGGAUGAACGCUAGCGGGAGGCCUAAUACAUGCAAGUCGAGGGGUAACAGGUCUUCGGAUGCUGACGACCGGCGCACGGGUGAGUAACGCGUACACAAUCUACCCUCAACUGGGAGAUAGCCCGGGGAAACUCGGAUUAAUAUGCCAUAAUAUAUAAGAGUCGCAUGACUUUUACAUUAAAGUUCCGGCGGUUGAGGAUGAGUGUGCGUCUGAUUAGCUAGUUGGUAGGGUAACGGCCUACCAAGGCGACGAUCAGUAGCUGGUCUGAGAGGAUGAUCAGCCACACUGGGACUGAGACACGGCCCAGACUCCUACGGGAGGCAGCAGUGGGGAAUUUUCCGCAAUGGGCGAAAGCCUGACGGAGCAAUACCGCGUGAGGGAGGAAGGCUCUUGGGUCGUAAACCUCUUUUCUCAAGGAAGAAGAAAGUGACGGUACUUGAGGAAUAAGCAUCGGCUAACUCCGUGCCAGCAGCCGCGGUAAUACGGAGGAUGCAAGCGUUAUCCGGAAUGAUUGGGCGUAAAGGGUCUGCAGGUGGAACUGAAAGUCUGCUGUUAAAGAGUUUGGCUUAACCAAAUAAAAGCGGUGGAAACUACAGAACUAGAGUGCGGUAGGGGCAAAAGGAAUUCCUGGUGUAGCGGUGAAAUGCGUAGAUAUCAGGAAGAACACCGGUGGCGAAAGCGUUUUGCUAGACCGUAACUGACACUGAGGGACGAAAGCUAGGGGAGCGAAUGGGAUUAGAUACCCCAGUAGUCCUAGCCGUAAACGAUGGAUACUAGGCGUGGCUUGUAUCGACCCGAGCCGUGCCGGAGCUAACGCGUUAAGUAUCCCGCCUGGGGAGUACGCACGCAAGUGUGAAACUCAAAGGAAUUGACGGGGGCCCGCACAAGCGGUGGAGUAUGUGGUUUAAUUCGAUGCAACGCGAAGAACCUUACCAAGACUUGACAUCCUGCGAAUCCUGGUGAAAGCUGGGAGUGCCUUAGGGAGCGCAGAGACAGGUGGUGCAUGGCUGUCGUCAGCUCGUGUCGUGAGAUGUUGGGUUAAGUCCCGCAACGAGCGCAACCCUCGUUUUUAGUUGCCAGCAUUAAGUUGGGCACUCUAGAGAGACUGCCGGUGACAAACCGGAGGAAGGUGAGGAUGACGUCAAGUCAGCAUGCCCCUUACGUCUUGGGCUACACACGUACUACAAUGCUACGGACAGAGGGCAGCGAGCCAGGGAUGGCAAGCGAAUCCAGAAACCGUAGCUCAGUUCAGAUCGAAGGCUGCAACUCGCCUUCGUGAAGGAGGAAUCGCUAGUAAUUGCAGGUCAGCAUACUGCAGUGAAUUCGUUCCCGGGCCUUGUACACACCGCCCGUCACACCAUGGAAGUUGGUCACGCCCGAAGUCAUUACCCCAACCGAAAGGAGGGGGAUGCCUAAGGUAGGACUGGUGACUGGGGUGAAGUCGUAACAAGGUAGCCGUACCGGAAGGUGUGGCUG
rnacentral:rRNA from 1 species